AUCCAGCUGACGAGUCCCGAAAUUAUGGAUGAAACGCGCUUCCUGGAU
rnacentral:hammerhead_ribozyme from 1 species